rnacentral:rRNA from 1 species
UACGAAGGGGGCUAGCGUUGUUCGGAAUUACUGGGCGUAAAGCGCAUGCAGGCGGAUCGCUAAGUCAGGGGUGAAAGCCCGAGGCUCAACCUCGGAACUGCCUUUGAUACUGGCGAUCUUGAGUCCGGGAGAGGUGAGUGGAACUCCGAGUGUAGAGGUGAAAUUCGUAGAUAUCGGAAGGAACACCAGUGGCGAAAGCGGCUUCCUGGUCCAGCACCGACGUUCAGGCACGAAAGCGUGGGGAGCAAACAGG